rnacentral:rRNA from 1 species
GAUGAACGCUGGCGGCGUGCCUAAUACAUGCAAGUCGAGCGAACGGACGAGAAGCUUGCUUCUCUGAUGUUAGCGGCGGACGGGUGAGUAACACGUGGAUAACCUACCUCUAAGACUGGGGUAACUUCGUGAAACCGGAGCUAAUACCGGAUAAUAUUUUGAACCGCAUGGUUCAAAAGUGAAAGACGGUCUUGCUGUCACUUAUAGAUGGAUCCGCGCUGGAUUAGCUAGUUGGUAAGGUAACGGCUUACCAAGGCAACGAUGCAUAGCCGACCUGAGAGGGUGAUCGGCCACACUGGAACUGAGACACGGUCCAGACUCCUACGGGAGGCAGCAGUAGGGAAUCUUCCGCAAUGGGCGAAAGCCUGACGGAGCAACGCCGCGUGAGUGAUGAAGGUCUUCGGAUCGUAAAACUCUGUUAUUAGGGAAGAACAUAUGUGUAAGUAACUGUGCACAUCUUGACGGUACCUAAUCAGAAAGCCACGGCUAACUACGUG